rnacentral:rRNA from 1 species
AGUGAACGCUGGCGGUAGGCCUAACACAUGCAAGUCGAACGGCAGCACAGUAAGAGCUUGCUCUUACGGGAGGCGAGUGGCGGACGGGUGAGGAAUACAUCGGAAUCUACUUUUUCGUGGGGGAUAACGUAGGGAAACUUACGCUAAUACCGCAUACGACCUACGGGUGAAAGCAGGGGAUCUUCGGACCUUGCGCGAUUGAAUGAGCCGAUGUCGGAUUAGCUAGUUGGCGGGGUAAAGGCCCACCAAGGCGACGAUCCGUAGCUGGUCUGAGAGGAUGAUCAGCCACACUGGAACUGAGACACGGUCCAGACUCCUACGGGAGGCAGCAGUGGGGAAUAUUGGACAAUGGGCGCAAGCCUGAUCCAGCCAUACCGCGUGGGUGAAGAAGGCCUUCUGGUUGUAAAGCCCUUUUGUUGGGAAAGAAAAGCAGCAGGUUAAUACCCCGCUGUUCUGACGGUACCCAAAGAAUAAGCACCGGCUAACUUCGUG